UUCUCUGCAAUCCGCGCACACAGCUCAUCGGUGGCUGCACGUCUGCUCGGCGUCGCAAUGCGGCCUGCGUCAUUUUCUGGUGCUCGCGCAAUCGGUGUGAAACAUGUCGCAUGUGAAAUGUUUGAUAGAAGUGCCUCACGUCCAAGUCAAGCCGCCGUACGGGUGUAUGGCUGUGCGCCCCGUUCUCGGAAGCGUCGACGGGUUUCCGGCAUGCGGAUUUCAGCGUUUGGACUCUACUUUUGGUGAGGAUGUCGAUCGACCUUGGGCCUGGCGACAGCACACCCGACAUCGCCAAAGUGCAGCCUAUCUGUUGAGUGCCCCCGAAUGGACCAUCAACAUUGGAAAAUGAAGCAGAGCCAGGGGGAAAAGGUUCCGGUAACACUGCAUUCAGUAUGGUGGCCCAGACGUGUAUGCAAGCAACCUCCUUCAUGUGGACCAAGAACUACUCUGCAGUGUCUCACAGACUUCCAUGCGAAGCCCUCAACAUUCUCGUCUCAGUGGAAUGGCUGCUCAUCUAUCUGCGUGUCCAUCACCAAGAUGGCCAGUUGUAAAGCUCCUGUACCCGUUUAAGACAGCUUAAUGAUUUUUUUUAUUUAGUUUUCAUGGUUGGCCGUAGAAUCUUAACAUUUUUGAUGUUUCUAACGUUUUUACCUGGCCCAAAGUGGUGCAAUAACUUUAAACCAGUGUAAUGUAUUUAAGUGAUGCUCACUCUAAUGCCUAUCUGGUUUUGUUUGUGUUUAAGAAAUUUGAAUGUCUGAUGAGGUAACAGCAUUUAAACUUGUCAUCGUGGCUCUUUUCAGUGAGCUGCUAGGAAAUAAGAUGCAAAACUUAUCACACGCCAGUUGUAGCAUUUUUGUUUUCAAGACUAAAGUAUACAUGUUUCAAAAGAUGGAAAGUGGGGAAAAAAGCCUCAAGAACAUAAUCAUCCUAGGAUUGUCAUGUCCUUACAACUCUGCAAUGACUAAUGCCUCAUACAUCUUGGGAGCACAUUGGUCGCAAUGCCUACAGGUAUACUUGAUAAGAGAAUAGCUUGCACUCAGAUUUGCCACGCAGUUGAUGGCUGAUAGCUUUUGUUUGUCGUCUUCAUGUUACUACUAUGUAUUCAAUAUUCAUUUACAUGUGCUGCGGUUUUUUGCAGUCACACACACACAC